rnacentral:tRNA from 1 species
GGCUACGUAGCUCAGCUGGUUAGAGCACCACACUCAUAAUGUGGGAGUCGGUGGUUCGAAUCCACCCGUAGCCACCA